CAGCCACUUCAUGCACCUCAGAAUUCUAAAUCUACUAAUGUGAAUAAAUUGGAAUAUACACAGAAGCCUUCAUGGACUCCGGCCAAGAUUUACACUGUGAAGACACCUCCAAAAUCUAAAUUGCAAAGAGAAAACACCAAUCAAUGCCCAGAAAACAGAAGAAAGAAAAAGAGAAGAGUUCUGUUAGAAAUGGAUACACGAUCAGAUAGCUCUGAGAAUGACAUUCUGGUACAUAUCUGAAAAUAAAUUUUAC
rnacentral:lncRNA from 11 species